CAGUCGCCGCGGGAAUACGAAGGGUGCAAGCGUUAAUCGGAAUUACUGGGCGUAAAGCGUGCGUAGGCGGUUUGUUAAGUCUGCUGUGAAAUCCCCGGGCUCAACCUGGGAAUGGCAGUGGAUACUGGCAAGCUAGAGUGUGUCAGAGGAUGGUGGAAUUCCCGGUGUAGCGGUGAAAUGCGUAGAGAUCGGGAGGAACAUCAGUGGCGAAGGCGACUAUCUGGGCCAACACUGACACUGAGGCACGAAAGCGUGGGGAGCAAACAGGAUUAGAUACCCGCGUAGUCCCUGUCUCUUAUAC
rnacentral:rRNA from 1 species